ensembl:ncRNA C01B9.7 ncRNA
AUUUCAUCGUCUACCUUCUUGUCCUUGUCGCCUUUGCUGCAAACUUCGGAUUCUGUCAAUGACGUCCAUUUCCUGCUCCAGCUCCUAGAGUGUGAAGAAGCAAGCACAAUAUGCAUUCAAUGAUGGGAUUGAAACUUCGUUCAACAGUGCCCAAUGAAGCGAGUCUAACGAUCCUUCUAAGGAUUAAUUCGGCCAUGUUUG